AACGCUAGCUACAGGCUUAACACAUGCAAGUCGAGGGGCAGCAUGGUCUUAGCUUGCUAAGGCCGAUGGCGACCGGCGCACGGGUGAGUAACGCGUAUCCAACCUGCCUUACACUCUUGGACAGCCUUCUGAAAGGGAGAUUAAUACAAGAUGUUAUCAUGAGUAAGCAUUUUCGCAUGAUUAAAGGUUUACCGGUGUAAGAUGGGGAUGCGUUCCAUUAGAUAGUAGGCGGGGUAACGGCCCACCUAGUCUUCGAUGGAUAGGGGUUCUGAGAGGAAGGUCCCCCACAUUGGAACUGAGACACGGUCCAAACUCCUACGGGAGGCAGCAGUGAGGAAUAUUGGUCAAUGGGCGAGAGCCUGAACCAGCCAAGUAGCGUGAAGGAUGACUGCCCUAUGGGUUGUAAACUUCUUUUAUAAAGGAAUAAAGUCGGGUAUGGAUACCCGUUUGCAUGUACUUUAUGAAUAAGGAUCGGCUAACUCCGUGCCAGCAGCCGCGGUAAUACGGAGGAUCCGAGCGUUAUCCGGAUUUAUUGGGUUUAAAGGGAGCGUAGAUGGAUGUUUAAGUCAGUUGUGAAAGUUUGCGGCUCAACCGUAAAAUUGCAGUUGAUACUGGAUAUCUUGAGUGCAGUUGAGGCAGGCGGAAUUCGUGGUGUAGCGGUGAAAUGCUUAGAUAUCACGAAGAACUCCGAUUG
rnacentral:rRNA from 1 species